rnacentral:piRNA from 1 species
UGAACCCUUGGGCCGCGCACAC